GCCAAAUGUGCUGCUGCCAAGUCGGCUGCUCAAAGCGAACACGACAAAAAUCUGCUACUCCAGAGGCAGUUGGAUGAUUCAUUGAGAGAGAUAACUAUGUUGCGGAGUAGCAAGAUUAUGACAGCAGAAGCAGAAAGGGAGAACUCCAAUCUGAAGAACUUAGUUGAAUCAUUGUCAAAGAAUAAUUCAUCACUUGAAUAUGAACUCACCUCAGCUCGUAAAGGUAGUGAUGCUACGAUGAAGAAAUUGAAAGACGUAGAGGGAAA
rnacentral:misc_RNA from 1 species